CCCAAAUUCAGUCCAUAAAAGCACGGUUAGGAGCAAACAGCUUUUCAAUUUCCCUGUGUCCUUUCCUAUGGCUGUGGUUGGAGAGACGUAGAGAGAGGCUGCUGUGAAGUCACAAUCCAGCCACACGGCAUUGAUCCUGUCAUGGCUGGUGUGGUUGUGCCCACACGUGACCUGAACAUCCUUCCCACUCAGUACCAAAUACAGUCAAUUCUGUGGCUUGAUGGUGCGUGGACAUAACAUUCAGAUAUUGCCCAUGGUUGACAACUUCUUUCCUCUGCCUAUGUUGCCAUCCAUGUCAUGGUUUGUGUCAAGACUCUAGGAGAAGUCUACCAUCAGCACCACAGCUACUGUGCACAAAUCCAGAAUGCCAGACUGAAGUCAGAAGGAAAGUUUCAGUUACCUGUGGUCAACCAUGGUCUGAAAAUAUUAAACGGAAAUUCAAGAAAUAAACAACUCAUUAGUUUAAACUGUGUGCCAUUCUGAGUUGCCUGAUGAACUCUCUUGCCGUCCUGCUCCAUCCCUUCUUCAUCACAAAAAGAAAAAGGGUCUUCAGGGGCUAGAACACCCAUGGAGCUGUCGUCUCCUGUGGUAACAGUGCCGUCUUCUAGAAUGCCUCCUAGAUGACCUGCCUGAGGCUGUUUACAGGUAACUUUUAAAACCAUAAGUAGAUAGAGUACACUCUAAAAUAACAAUUAAAAGGAUAGUAUAGUAAAUGCAUAAUCUAAAAUAACAAUUAAAAGGAUAGUAUAGUAAAUGCAUAAUCUAAAAUAACAAUUAAAAGGAUAGUAUAGUAAAUGCAUAAACUAAUAACAUAGUUUUGAUUGACAUUGUCACGUAUUAUGUACUGUACAUAGUUGUAUGCACUAUACUUUUACAUGACCAGCAGCUCAGUAGGUUUGUUUACAGAAGCUUCGCCACAAACGUGUGAGUAAUGCCUACAGCGGUACGACAGCUAUGAUGUCGCUAGGUGAUAGGAAUUUUUCAGCUCCAUUAUAAUCUUGUAAGACCACCAUCAUAUAUGCAGUCCGUCAUUGACCAAAACAUCAUUAUUAUCUCUAUUAUCCCCAUUUUACAGAUGAGGAAACUGAGGCAUAGAGAGUUCAGGAAACUUCCCAAUGUUAUACAGUGUGUGACAAAGCCCAGAUUUCAACUCCAGUAUUUCUGGCUCCAAAAUCUACCUCUUAAUCACUCACAGAGGCUACACCAUUUGGCACCAGAGACCUGGAUUCUCAUCCUAGGCUCUGCAUUCGCUCACUGGGAGACUUGAAGUCCUUCUCUGAGUCUCUGGUACCCUCAGCUUCCUCCUCCAUGAAAAUGCUUCAUACCUUGUCUAUCUUAAGGUGUCACUGUGUGGAUGGAAUGACACUGGGCACAGAAAGCAUGAGUUACACUGCCUGGCACAGAGCAGAUGAUGCCCAUAAAAGCUGGUUGCCCCCCAAAAUGCCAUGGGAAAUCAUUUUGGGCCUUUAAGUGGGGCAAUGAGAUGACUGAACUUACACUUUCAUAUGUAUGUUGGAAAUACUCAUCUUCCCUGAUUAAUCUGCCAGAGAUUGAUUGGAGCUGGGAUAGAUGUGUUAGAAAGAUAUUGCAAGAAUCCAGAGAACAGGCAGUGAGGGUCUUUGCAGGCACAGAGGCAGGGAGAAAGCAAUUGUAUUAUUGAAUCUAAGAUUUUAGAGCUAAACAGACACUAUGGGCCAUAUAGCACAAAAUAUCCUCAUUUUAUAGAACAAAGGGGCCCCUACCCAGACUUAAAUGACUAGUCCAAGGAGAAGCUGUGGGGCUAGUUCAGGGCUUCUAAUUUCCUGAUUCACUGAUUUGUCCUCAACUCAGCCAGUGCUGAUGUCUCACUAGAGUUUUCAACUCUUAACAAAAAUAACAAAGUGUAUCUAUUUUAUGUAAGUCAUAUACUUUCUACUCUUCAAUAGCUUCCAUGGACAUUAAUCCCACUUGAUUUUGCCAAUGACAACUCCCCUCGACCACCAAAGAAAGGUAGCACACUGGAGUUAGAAUUAUCCCCACACUCCAGAUAGGUAAACUGAGGCGUGGAAGAUGAUUCUAAUUUCUGCCUCAAAUUCUCUCAUCUUCACUUCUACAUUAAUUCUUUACAUUUUGCUUUUUAAAUAUUACCACAAUGUUGAUACAGGAACGGUAUUCACAAAAUUUUGUCCUGAACAAAAUUUCACAGGGGCAGAGAGGCUUAAAAAAAUGUAACUUCAUUUAGAAAGGUUAAUGGUUGGGGUUUACUUGAAAUUAUGUCCAAAGAAAGGAUGCUGUGAUCAAUGGGAAAUUGCAUGUUUGUAGUUGUUCUGUUUUAAUUAUGGUGAAUGAAAGUAUAUCUUGCUUAGAAAGUAUGCUGAGAUGCUAUCUCUUUCUGUCUUCCUUCCAGAGGAAAGAAAUCAAAUCAUGUUUAUAGAAUUUGUUUUCUUGUCUGUG